GACGAACGCUGGCGGCGUGCUUAACACAUGCAAGUCGAACGGAAAGGCCCCUUUGGGGGUCCUCGAGUGGCGAACGGGUGAGUAACACGUGAGUAACCUGCCCUUGACUUCGGGAUAACUUCAGGAAACUGGGGCUAAUACCGGAUAGGAAUCCUUGCUGCAUGGUGGGGGUUGGAAAGCUUCGGCGGUUUUGGAUGGACUCGCGGCUUAUCAGCUUGUUGGUGGGGUAGUGGCUUACCAAGGCUUUGACGGGUAGCCGGCCUGAGAGGGCGACCGGCCACAUUGGGACUGAGAUACGGCCCAGACUCCUACGGGAGGCAGCAGUGGGGAAUAUUGCACAAGGGGCGGAAGCCUGAUGCAGCAACGCCGCGUGCGGGAUGACGGCCUUCGGGUUGUAAACCGCUUUCAGCAGGGGCGAAGCUUGUGGUGACGGUAUCUGCAGAAGAAGCACCGGCUAACUACGUG
rnacentral:rRNA from 1 species